UACAGCCAUAUCACAUUGUAACACCAGUUCUCAUGCAAUUAUUGAAGUUAAGCGAUGUCGAGCUUGGUCAGUAUGUAGAUUGGUGACCACUUGGAAAUACCAAGUGCUGGAAG